rnacentral:rRNA from 1 species
AUUGAACGCUGGCGGCAGGCCUAACACAUGCAAGUCGAGCGGAUGGAGGGAGCUUGCUCCUGGAUUCAGCGGCGGACGGGUGAGUAAUGCCUAGGAAUCUGCCUGGUAGUGGGGGAUAACGUCCGGAAACGGGCGCUAAUACCGCAUACGUCCUGAGGGAGAAAGUGGGGGAUCUUCGGACCUCACGCUAUCAGACGAGCCUAGGUCGGAUUAGCUAGUUGGUGGGGUAAAGGCCUACCAAGGCGACGAUCCGUAACUGGUCUGAGAGGAUGAUCAGUCACACUGGAACUGAGACACGGUCCAGACUCCUACGGGAGGCAGCAGUGGGGAAUAUUGGACAAUGGGCGAAAGCCUGAUCCAGCCAUGCCGCGUGUGUGAAGAAGGUCUUCGGAUUGUAAAGCACUUUAAGUUGGGAGGAAGGGCAGUAAGUUAAUACCUUGCUGUUUUGACGUUACCAACAGAAUAAGCACCGGCUAACUUCGUG